rnacentral:rRNA from 1 species
UGGGGAAUAUUGGACAAUGGGCGAAAGCCUGAUCCAGCCAUGCCGCGUGUGUGAAGAAGGUCUUCGGAUUGUAAAGCACUUUAAGUUGGGAGGAAGGGCAGUAAGCGAAUACCUUGCUGUUUUGACGUUACCGACAGAAUAAGCACCGGCUAACUCUGUGCCAGCAGCCGCGGUAAUACAGAGGGUGCAAGCGUUAAUCGGAAUUACUGGGCGUAAAGCGCGCGUAGGUGGGUCGUUAAGUUGAAUGUGAAAGCCCCGGGCUCCACCUGGGAACUGCAUCCCCAACUGGCGAGCUAGAGUAGGGCAGAGGGUGGUUGAAUUUCCUGUGUAGCGGUGAAAUGCGUAGAUAUAGGAAGGAACACCCGUGGCGAAGGCGACCACCUGGGCUCAUACUGACACUGGGGUGCGAAAGCGUGGGGAGCAAACAGG